rnacentral:tRNA from 1 species
ACUAUUUUGGCAGAUUAGUGCCGUAAAUUUAGAAUUUAUUUAUGUAAUUAUUAUUACAAAUAGUA